CUAUACAUGCAAGUCGAACGAACUCUGGUAUUGAUUGGUGCUUGCAUCAUGAUUUACAUUUGAGUGAGUGGCGAACUGGUGAGUAACACGUGGGAAACCUGCCCAGAAGCGGGGGAUAACACCUGGAAACAGAUGCUAAUACCGCAUAACAACUUGGACCGCAUGGUCCGAGCUUGAAAGAUGGCUUCGGCUAUCACUUUUGGAUGGUCCCGCGGCGUAUUAGCUAGAUGGUGGGGUAACGGCUCACCAUGGCAAUGAUACGUAGCCGACCUGAGAGGGUAAUCGGCCACAUUGGGACUGAGACACGGCCCAAACUCCUACGGGAGGCAGCAGUAGGGAAUCUUCCACAAUGGACGAAAGUCUGAUGGAGCAACGCCGCGUGAGUGAAGAAGGGUUUCGGCUCGUAAAACUCUGUUGUUAAAGAAGAACAUAUCUGAGAGUAACUGUUCAGGUAUUGACGGUAUUUAACCAGAAAGCCACGGCUAACUACGUGCCAGCAGCCGCGGUAAUACGUAGGUGGCAAGCGUUGUCCGGAUUUAUUGGGCGUAAAGCGAGCGCAGGCGGUUUUUUAAGUCUGAUGUGAAAGCCUUCGGCUCAACCGAAGAAGUGCAUCGGAAACUGGGAAACUUGAGUGCAGAAGAGGACAGUGGAACUCCAUGUGUAGCGGUGAAAUGCGUAGAUAUAUGGAAGAACACCAGUGGCGAAGGCGGCUGUCUGGUCUGUAACUGACGCUGAGGCUCGAAAGUAUGGGUAGCAAACAGGAUUAGAUACCCUGGUAGUCCAUACCGUAAACGAUGAAUGCUAAGUGUUGGAGGGUUUCCGCCCUUCAGUGCUGCAGCUAACGCAUUAAGCAUUCCGCCUGGGGAGUACGGCCGCAAGGCUGAAACUCAAAGGAAUUGACGGGGGCCCGCACAAGCGGUGGAGCAUGUGGUUUAAUUCGAAGCUACGCGAAGAACCUUACCAGGUCUUGACAUACUAUGCAAAUCUAAGAGAUUAGACGUUCCCUUCGGGGACAUGGAUACAGGUGGUGCAUGGUUGUCGUCAGCUCGUGUCGUGAGAUGUUGGGUUAAGUCCCGCAACGAGCGCAACCCUUAUUAUCAGUUGCCAGCAUUAAAUUGGGCACUCUGGUGAGACUGCCGGUGACAAACCGGAGGAAGGUGGGGAUGACGUCAAAUCAUCAUGCCCCUUAUGACCUGGGCUACACACGUGCUACAAUGGAUGGUACAACGAGUUGCGAACUCGCGAGAGUAAGCUAAUCUCUUAAAGCCAUUCUCAGUUCGGAUUGUAGGCUGCAACUCGCCUACAUGAAGUCGGAAUCGCUAGUAAUCGCGGAUCAGCAUGCCGCGGUGAAUACGUUCCCGGGCCUUGUACACACCGCCCGUCACACCAUGAGAGUUUGUAACACCCAAAGUCGGUGGGGUAACCUUUUAGGAACCAGCCGCCUAAGG
rnacentral:rRNA from 1 species